rnacentral:rRNA from 1 species
GUCCCUGCUCCUUGCACACACCGCCCGUCGACCCACCCGAGUGGGGCUUGGGUGAGGCGUGGUCCUAUGGGCGGCGUCGAACCUGAGCCCUGCGAGGGGGGGUAAGUAGUAACAAGGUGGCCGUAGGGGAACCUGCGGCCGGAUCACCUCCUAUGC